CCUACGGGAGGCAGCAGUGGGGAAUAUUGCACAAUGGGGGAAACCCUGAUGCAGCGACGCCGCGUGAGUGAAGAAGUAUUUCGGUACGUAAAGCUCUAUCAGCAGGGAAGAAAAUGACGGUACCUGACUAAGAAGCCCCGGCUAACGACGUGCCAGCAGCCGCGGGAAAACGUAGGGGGCAAGCGUUAUCCGGAUUUACUGGGGGUAAAGGGAGCGUAGACGGCAGCGCAAGUCUGGAGUGAAAUCCCAGGGCGUAACCAUGGAACUGCUUUGGAAACUGUGCAGCUAGAGUGCAGGAGAGGUAAGCGGAAUUCCUAGUGUAGCGGUGAAAUGCGUAGAUAUUAGGAGGAACACCAGUGGCGAAGGCGGCUUACUGGACUGUAACUGACGUUGAGGCUCGAAAGCGUGGGGAGCAAACAGGAUUAGAUACCCGAGUAGUC
rnacentral:rRNA from 1 species